UCUUAUCAACCAUUUGCCUGUAAUAGGAGUAAUUUGCCAAAAGCCAGAGCCCUAAUUCCUGACCUCUGAGUUCUCCUUUGAAAAGAAGUUGAAGAGGUGCCUGCACUGUUAGCAAGCAUGAGAACAUUCCUAUGGAAAACCGUGUGUUCGGAAAAAUGGAGAGGACAUGUCCAGAAGAUCCCUUCCUUUCCCUGAUGAGAAGCUGUGUAAAUCUGCACUUACAAACUGAGGGAAGUUCAAGGAAGAUGAAUGAAGCCUAUUUCUUACAACAAGAAAUAGGGGACAUGGAAAACAUUUAUACCUGGAGG